GGUAGCCAAGUCUGGCAGGGAUAAACGCUGAAGGCAUCUAAGCGUGAAGCCCCCCUCAAGAUGAGAUAUCCCAUUCGAAAGAAGUAAGACCCCUUGAAGACGACGAGGUAGAUAGGGCAGAGGUGGAAGUGCAGUAAUGUAUGGAGCUGACUGUUACUAAUCGGUCGAGGGCUUAUCCAG
rnacentral:rRNA from 1 species